UCUUAGGGAUGCUAGGGUUCCGGUUCGAGAGAACGUCUGGUCCGAGAGCAGCCCGGUGCGCCGGCAGGUUCGAUUGCAGACACGAACGGCUGGCGGCACUACACGGCGGGACAAAAGCCCGGGAGAU
rnacentral:sRNA from 1 species